UACGGGGGGAGCAAGCGUUGUUCGGAUUUACUGGGCGUAAAGGGCGCGUAGGCGGUCAGCACAAGUCAGUUGUGAAAUCUCCGGGCUUAACUCGGAAAGGUCAACUGAUACUGUGCGACUAGAGUGCGGAAGGGGCAACUGGAAUUCUUGGUGUAGCGGUGAAAUGCGUAGAUAUCAAGAGGAACACCGGUGGCGAAGGCGGCUCUCUGGUCCAAUCCUGACGCUGAGGUGCGAAAGCUAGGGGAGCAAACGGG
rnacentral:rRNA from 1 species